rnacentral:tRNA from 1 species
AGCCCUGUAGUCUAGCGGUCUAGGAUUCGACCCUUUGGCGGUCGAGACCCCGGUUCGAAUCCGGGCGGGGCUA